rnacentral:rRNA from 1 species
AGUGAACGCUGGCGGUAGGCCUAACACAUGCAAGUCGAACGGCAGCACAGUAAGAGCUUGCUCUUACGGGUGGCGAGUGGCGGACGGGUGAGGAAUACAUCGGAAUCUACUUUUUCGUGGGGGAUAACGUAGGGAAACUUACGCUAAUACCGCAUACGACCUACGGGUGAAAGCAGGGGAUCUUCGGACCUUGCGCGAUUGAAUGAGCCGAUGUCGGAUUAGCUAGUUGGCGGGGUAAAGGCCCACCAAGGCGACGAUCCGUAGCUGGUCUGAGAGGAUGAUCAGCCACACUGGAACUGAGACACGGUCCAGACUCCUACGGGAGGCAGCAGUGGGGAAUAUUGGACAAUGGGCGGAAGCCUGAUCCAGCCAUACCGCGUGGGUGAAGGAAGCCUUCGGGUUGUAAAGCCCUUUUGUUGGGAAAGAAAAGCAGCAGGUUAAUACCCCGCUGUUCUGACGGUACCCAAAGAAUAAGCAACGGCUAACUUCGUG